rnacentral:rRNA from 1 species
UGAACUUAAGCAUAUCAAUAAGCGGAGGAAAAGAAACCAACAGGGAUUGCCUCAGUAACGGCGAGUGAAGCGGCAACAGCUCAAAUUUGAAAUCUGGCCUCUUCGGGGUCCGAGUUGUAAUUUGUAGAGGGUGUUUCGGGCGCGAUGCCGGUCCCAAGUUCUUUGGAACAGGACGUCGUAGAGGGUGAGAAUCCCGUAUGCGACCGGCGAUCAAGCCUGUGUGAAGCCCCUUCGACGAGUCGAGUUGUUUGGGAAUGCAGCUCAAAAUGGGUGGUAAAUUUCAUCUAAAGCUAAAUAUUGGCCGGAGACCGAUAGCGGACAAGUAGAGUGAUCGAAAGAUGAAAAGCACUUUGGAAAGAGAGUCAAACAGUACGUGAAAUUGUUGAAAGGGAAGCGCUUGCAAUCAGACCGGCCCGGAGGGCGAUCAGCCGCUGCUCGUCAGCGGUGCACUCGCCCGCGAUCCGGCCAGCAUCGGUUUGGGCGGCGGGACAAAAGUCCCGGGAAUGUAGCUUCUCUCGGGGAGUCUUAUAGCCCGGGGCGCAAUGCCGCCCGCCCGGACCGAGGACCGCGCUUCGGCUAGGAUGCUGGCGUAAUGGUUGCAAGCGACCCGUCUUGAAACACGGACCAAGGAGUCUAACAUCUAUGCGAGUGUUUGGGUGUCAAACCCAGGCGCGGAAUGAAAGUGAACGGAGGUGGGAACCCGUCAGACGGCGCACCAUCGACCGAUCCAGAUGUCUUCGGAUGGAUUUGAGUAUGAGCAUAGCUGUUGGGACCCGAAAGAUGGUGAACUAUGCCCGGAUAGGGUGAAGCCAGAGGAAACUCUGGUGGAGGCUCGCAGCGGUUCUGACGUGCAAAUCGAUCGUCAAAUCUAGGCAUAGGGGCGAAAGACCAAUCGAACCAUCUAGUAGCUGGUUCCUGUCGAAGUUUCCCUCAGGAUAGCAGUAACGUUUUCAGUUUUAUGAGGUAAAGCGAAUGAUUAGAGGCCUUGGGGCUGAAACAGCCUUAACCUAUUCUCAAACUUUAAAUAUGUAAGAAGUCCUUGUUACUCAGUUGAACGUGGACAUUCGAAUGCACCGUUACUAGUGGGCCAUUUUUGGUAAGCAGAACUGGCGAUGCGGGAUGAACCGAACGCGAGGUUAAGGUGCCGGAAUGCACGCUCAUCAGACACCACAAAAAGUGUCAAUUCAUCCAGACAGCCGGACGGUGGCCAUGGAAGUCGGAAUCCGCUAAGGAGUGUGUAACAACUCACCGGCCGAAUGAAUUGGCCUUGAAAAUGGAUGGCGCUCAAGCGUGCUACCCAUACCUCGCCGCCAGGGUAGAAACGAUGCCCUGGCGAGUAGGCAG